CAAUAGCGUAUAUUAAAGUUGUUGCGGUAAAAAAGCUCGUAGUUGGAUUUCUGUUGAGAGCGACCGGUCCAUACCAUGUAUGCGUAUCUGGCUUGCUCUCGGCAUCCUCUCGAUAGACGUUACUGCGCUUGAUUGCGUGGUGCGGAUCUCGGGACUUUUACUUUGAGGAAAUUAGAGUGUUCACGGCAGGCUUUCGCCAGAAUACACUAGCAUGGAAUAAUACUAUAGGAUCUUGGUUCUAUUUUGUUGGUUUCUAGAAUUGAGAUAAUGAUUAAUAGGGACAAUUGGGGGCAUUCGUAUCAACACGUCAGAGGUGGAAUUCUUGGAUUGUGUUGCGACGAACUACUGCGAAAGCAUUUGCCAAGGAUGUUUUCAUUGA
rnacentral:rRNA from 1 species